UACGUAGGGAGCAAGCGUUAUCCGGAAUUAUUGGGUGUAAAGAGUGCGUAGACGGGAAGUUAAGUUGGUAUGUGAAAUCCCCCGGCUCAACUGAGGAACUGCAACCAAAACUGAUUUUCUUGAGUGCUGGAGAGGAAAGUGGAAUUCCUAGUGUAGCGGUGAAAUGCGUAGAUAUUAGGAGGAACACCAGUGGCGAAGGCGACUUUCUGGACAGUAACUGACGUUGAGGCACGAAAGCGUGGGGAGCAAG
rnacentral:rRNA from 1 species